UACGUGAGGGGCGAACGUUGUUCGGUGUCACUGGGCUUAAAGGGUGCGUAGGUGGUUUCGUAAGUAAGGUGUGAAAGCCCUCGGCUUACCCGGGGAAUUGCGCCUUAUACUGCGAGACUUGAGGAUUUCAGGGGAAAGGGGAACUCCAGGUGUAGCGGUGAAAUGCGCAGAUAUCUGGGGGAAGGCCGGCGGCGAAGGCGCCUUUCUGGACCGUAGCUGACGCUGAGACACGAAAGCGUGGGUAGCAAACAGG
rnacentral:rRNA from 1 species